rnacentral:misc_RNA from 1 species
GAUGAAGAACGCAGCGAAAUGCGAUACGUAAUGUGAAUUGCAGAAUUCAGUGAAUCAUCGAAUCUUUGAACGCAUAUUGCGCUCUUUGGUAUUCCGAAGAGCAUGCUUGUUUGAGUAUCAGUAAACACCUCAACCUCUUCUUGAUUUUUCAAAAGGAGGGUGGACUUGAGCUAUCCCAACAACCUUUACCGGUCGGCGGGCGGCUUGAAAUGCUGGUGCAGCUGGACUUUUAUCUGAGCUAAAAGCAUAUCUAUAGUCCUCGUCAAACAGGAUUAUUACUUUUGCUGCAGCUAACAUAAAGGAUAAUUGUCCUCUUUGCUGACUGAUGCAGGAUUUUACGACACUUUAUGUGUUGUUCAACUCGAUCUCAAAUCAAGUAAGACUACCCGCUGAACUUAAGCAUAUCAAUAAGCGGAGGA